ACGGGAGGCAGCAGUGGGGAAUAUUGCACAAUGGGGGAAACCCUGAUGCAGCGACGCCGCGUGAGUGAAGAAGUAUUUCGGUAUGUAAAGCUCUAUCAGCAGGGAAGAAAAUGACGGUACCUGACUAAGAAGCCCCGGCUAACUACGUGCCAGCAGCCGCGGUAAUACGUAGGGGGCAAGCGUUAUCCGGAUUUACUGGGUGUAAAGGGAGCGCAGACGGCGAUGUAAGUCUGAAGUGAAAGCCCGCGGCUCAACUGCGGGACUGCUUUGGAAACUAUAUUGCUUGAGUGUCGGAGGGGCAAGCGGAAUUCCAUGUGUAGCGGUGAAAUGCGUAGAUAUAUGGAAGAACACCGGUGGCGAAGGCGGCUUGCUGGACGAUAACUGACGUUGAGGCUCGAAGGCGUGGGGAGCAAACAGGAUUAGAUACCCUGGUA
rnacentral:rRNA from 3 species